rnacentral:rRNA from 1 species
UUGGACAAUGGGCGCAAGCCUGAUCCAGCCAUGCCGCGUGAGUGAUGACGGCCUUAGGNUUGUAANGNUCUUUCAGUGGGGAAGANCAUGACGGUACACCCAGCAGAAGCCCCGGCUACCUUCGUGCCAGCAGCCGCGGUAAUACGAAGGGGGCUAGCGUUGUUCGGAUUUACUGGGCGUAAAGCGCGCGUAGGCGGUUUGUUAAGUCAGGGGUGAAAUCCCGGAGCUCAACUACGGAACUGCCUUUGAUACUGGCAAGCUAGAGUCCGGAAGAGGUGAGUGGAACUCCUAGUGUAGAGGUUGAAUUCGUAGAUAUUAGGAAGAACACCAGUGGCGAAGGCGGCUCACUGGUCCGGUACUGACGCUGAGGUGCGAAAGCGUGGGGAGCAAACAG